CAGCCAUCAUUUAAAGAAAGCGUAAUAGCUCACUGGUCGAGUCGGCCUGCGCGGAAGAUGUAACGGGGCUAAACCAUGCACCGAAGCUGCGGCAGCGACGCUUAUGCGUUGUUGGGUAGGGGAGCGUUCUGUAAGCCUGUGAAGGUGUGCUGUGAGGCAUGCUGGAGGUAUCAGAAGUGCGAAUGCUGACAUAAGUAACGAUAAAGCGGGUGAAAAGCCCGCUCGCCGGAAGACCAAGGGUUCCUGUCCAACGUUAAUCGGGGCAGGGUGAGUCGACCCCUAAGGCGAGGCCGAAAGGCGUAGUCGAUGGGAAACAGGUUAAUAUUCCUGUACUUGGUGUUACUGCGAAGGGGGGACGGAGAAGGCUAUGUUGGCCGGGCGACGGUUGUCCCGGUUUAAGCGUGUAGGCUGGUUUUCCAGGCAAAUCCGGAAAAUCAAGGCUGAGGCGUGAUGACGAGGCACUACGGUGCUGAAGCAACAAAUGCCCUGCUUCCAGGAAAAGCCUCUAAGCAUCAGGUAACAUCAAAUCGUACCCCAAACCGACACAGGUGGUCAGGUAGAGAAUACCAAGGCGCUUGAGAGAACUCGGGUGAAGGAACUAGGCAAAAUGGUGCCGUAACUUCGGGAGAA
rnacentral:rRNA from 1 species